CGAAACAGGAGCGAGGCACAAUCGACUACGUGAACCCGAAGUAUGUGUCUCACGCACACAUGCUCACUGUUAGGAAAAGCAGAGACUCGGCAUACACUUCAACGAUCACCGUGACUACCCUGAAAACCUUUGGGAACAAUGUAACGGCAACGUUUGGGUUUACAUUUCAAAACCAAAAUCUUUCGAUUACGCUUAAAUUGUGUGAUUGUUUUAAGUACUCCUGGUUCCAGACCUUCUUGAAGCGCCACUCCAACAUCAUAUCCUGUCCAAUCGUUCCGGGUACAUAUAUAAUAACGGACUGUGAGUUACCUCCAAGAGACUUCCCAAUUCCAGUUCCCAAUGGAGUUAGUAAAGGUCUUGCCUACUUCUCCACCGGUAAAGAAAUAAUUGGAGGCGGC